rnacentral:rRNA from 1 species
GACGAACCGUGCGAACGUUGUUCGGAAUCACUGGCUUAAAGGGCGCGUAGGCGGUCGGCCAAGUCCGGGGUGAAAGCCCCCGGCUCAACCGGGGAAAGGGCCUUGGAUACUGGCCGGCUGGAGGGAGGGUAGGGCAGCUGGAACUUCCGGUGGAGCGGUGAAAUGCGUUGAUAUCGGAAGGAACGCCGGUGGCGAAGCGAGCUGCUGGCCCUCUUCUGACGCUGAGGCGCGAAAGCCAGGGGAGCGAACGGG